CUCAUGUUGAGGGGCUCCUCCAACUACCUCAGUAGUAUGCUGACUCCGAAAGUGACCAGCUCCAACUGAGUAUCCUUCAAGAAACAGGAGAAAGUACGAGGAUCAUCAUUUAUAAUUAUUCCCAGCUGAAACAUUCAAGACCUGUAGGGAGAUGGAAGGUGUCUAGCUACAAAGCCCUCGUGAAUGAAUGCUUUCAGAAUUCACAAAAGAGACACAGCUUUGCUUCUUCUGAAGAACUGACAUAAGAACCUCUCUCUAUGAAAAGAAGGAUCAAGGAAACAUCUUCUUUUUAGUUUUGAUAACAGAAAACUUAAAGAAGCUGCUAUGGCACUUAUAUUACCAUUUGCUGCUAUGAUUUUUAUCACUCUUUUCAUAUCUUACCUGAUCCUGUACUCUACAAUUUUAGGUAGGGUUUUAGGUUUAUACCAUCUUGAAUUUUUUGGUAAAAUGUGGCUAGAUAUAUCUAAGCAAAACUAAAAUUCUACUAUGAAAAUGUUUAAAAGUGUAAAUCAUAACAGACAACAGAGGGUAGGUAAUAAAUAUACAGAUGCUUAGACUGAA